UACGUAGGGUGCAAGCGUUAAUCGGAAUUACUGGGCGUAAAGCGUGCGCAGGCGGUUUUGUAAGACUGUCGUGAAAUCCCCGGGCUCAACCUGGGAAUGGCGAUGGUGACUGCAAGGCUAGAGUUUGGCAGAGGGGGGUAGAAUUCCACGUGUAGCAGUGAAAUGCGUAGAUAUGCGGAGGAACACCGAUGGCGAAGGCAAUCCCCUGGGCCUGCACUGACGCUCAUGCACGAAAGCGUGGGGAGCAAACAGG
rnacentral:rRNA from 1 species